GGUAGCAUAAUCAUUAGUCUCCUAAUUAGAGGCUUGUAUGAAUGGUCGGACAAGAUGGGACCUGUCUCAAUACAAUCAAUAUAAUUUAAUAUUUAAGUAAAAAAGCUCAAAUGAAAUGGAGGGACGAUAAGACCCUAUAAAGCUUUAUAAUACUAUCUUUUCAUAUUAAUUAUCUGGUUAUUAACGUACUAAAAGAAAAGUAUUAUUUUACUGGGGCGGUAAAAGUAUAUAAAAGAAUAACUGCUUUUGUUUUACAAAACAACUAUAUUUGAAAAAUAAAUUGAUCCAUUAUUAAUGAUCACAAGAACAAGUUACUUUAGGGAUAACAGCGUAAUUUUUUUUGAGAGUCCUAAUCGAAAAAAAAGUUUGCGACCUCGAUGUUGAAUUAAGGAUACCUCAAGGUGCAGCAGCUUUGAAGGUAGAUCUGUUCGAUCUUUAAUUCUUUACAUGAUUU
rnacentral:rRNA from 1 species